AGUGAACGCUGGCGGUAGGCCUAACACAUGCAAGUCGAACGGCAGCACAGUAAGAGCUUGCUCUUACGGGUGGCGAGUGGCGGACGGGUGAGGAAUACAUCGGAAUCUACUUUUUCGUGGGGGAUAACGUAGGGACACUUACGCUAAUACCGCAUACGACCUACGGGUGAAAGCAGUGGAUCUUCGGACCUUGCGCGAUUGAAUGAGCCGAUGUCGGAUUAGCUAGUUGGCGGGGUAAAGGCCCACCAAGGCGACGAUCCGUAGCUGGUCUGAGAGGAUGAUCAGCCACACUGGAACUGAGACACGGUCCAGACUCCUACGGGAGGCAGCAGUGGGGAAUAUUGGACAAUGGGCGCAAGCCUGAUCCAGCCAUACCGCGUGGGUGAAGAAGGCCUUCGGGUUGUAAAGCCCUUUUGUUGGGAAAGAAAAGCAGCAGGUUAAUACCCCGCUGUUCUGACGGUACCCAAAGAAUAAGCACCGGCUAACUUCGUG
rnacentral:rRNA from 1 species